GACGAACGCUGGCGGCGUGCUUAACACAUGCAAGUCGAACGGAAAGGCCCCUUUGGGGGUACUCGAGUGGCGAACGGGUGAGUAACACGUGAGUAACCUGCCCUUGACUUCGGGAUAACUUCAGGAAACUGGGGCUAAUACCGGAUAGGAAUCCUUGCUGCAUGGUGGGGGUUGGAAAGCUUCUGCGGUUUUGGAUGGACUCGCGGCCUAUCAGCUUGUUGGUGGGGUAGUGGCUUACCAAGGCUUUGACGGGUAGCCGGCCUGAGAGGGCGACCGGCCACAUUGGGACUGAGAUACGGCCCAGACUCCUACGGGAGGCAGCAGUGGGGAAUAUUGCACAAUGGGCGGAAGCCUGAUGCAGCAACGCCGCGUGCGGGAUGACGGCCUUCGGGUUGUAAACCGCUUUCAGCAGGGGCGAAGCUUGUGGUGACGGUACCUGCAGAAGAAGCACCGGCUAACUACGUG
rnacentral:rRNA from 1 species